CUUAUUUGGCUCCUGUCUGCAGGGUUUACGCGCACGUUGGAAUCGAAGAGAGCUCUGUUGUUGCAAUGUUCAGCCCACAAGAGCUUACAGGUGAAGGAAUGGGACAAGACCCAUCUUUAUGCAAAGCCAGCGUUACAGUAAUGUUCCAGCAUCUCAUAAUCUAUCCUGAGGAAUUCAGCUGCCUCCCAGGGUGAAUACAGGUAUUUCUGAUGACAGUCUGCCUCUAUCUUACAGAGCAGCUUGUUGCUAUAUACCAUUGAAAAGCCUUCAGAGCUAAGAGGUACUACUAACCAAUAACCUGCUUGGCUCAAAGGGCCAGCACCUUCUCUCUAAAGCCCAAGAGGAGUUUGAGGUAAAUGGCUUUGCAAUAGUUACCGUCAAUAACUGCUAUAUAAAAUUUUCUGUGAUUUUUGUGUGUGAUAGCACUGUGGUCUGGGUGAAUGUAUACAGACAUAACUGGCUUAACCCAAAGUCUUUGAUCUCCUGAACCACCAGUUAUGAAUUGCUGCUCACCAGUGAUGAGUUGAAUACCGCCCCAGUCUGAUCAAUG
rnacentral:sRNA from 1 species